UCUUAAGUGAAGAAAUUGCAACGCAGCGGUGAACGACCAAAACAAAAAAAAAUGGAUUUCUGAUAAAGACCAUGACCAUGAUACAAUUAUAGAAGCUUUUUUUGAUGGUCAUAGGUUGGCAGCACUGGUGUGACGUACGUCACACGUUAGAACUUCGAAUUUUCGAAUGAGCCGAAGAGGCUCUGGUGUUCGAAUCACAGCGCUCGGCCCGACUGGGAUCGCCAUAAUUGUGUUUUUAAAGGUAGGUUUUUUUGUAUGAAUUGACGCAUCUAUGUAUUGUAUGGUUAGUGCCAUUAUUUUGACUGUUUGACAUACCUAUGUAUUGGUAAGUUAGUGCAAUAAUUCUGUUUUUAAGUAUGGUCAUGCAUGUUUCUAAAAAGUCGAUAAUUUAAGAAAUGUCAUCGAUAUUUUUGCAGGUCUGUCGCAAUUUUGUCAUUUUUAAAAUAUCACUUUAACGAUAUGUUCUGCUAAGUAAGAUCAAAAAAAGAAACAACAAUAAUAUACGAAAACAAUUUGUGACGCACCAUAUUGCGCCUCAAUAAAUAUAUAAAUAAUAUAUACCAGAGCCUUUUCACUCAGUCACUCGAAAACAUACGGUCACUCAGAUAGAGCCAGCUGUGCCGAGUUAACAGCGCAUGAGCAACGUAUGUAUACAGAGCCAAUCGAGUUAAACAGCGCAUGCGCAACGUAAGCAGCACCAAUCGAGUAACAGCGCAUGUGCAAUGUAAGCAGCGCCAAUCGAGUUAACAGCGCAUGUGCAAAUUUAGGCGAAAGGAAAACAAAGCGAGUUAGCAGAGCCAAGACCUUGACCUAUGUAAAUAAAAGCGAGAGUAAGAGGAUUAGAAUCCAGUGGUGCGUAGACCUUUGCUCGCGAGUGUCAAGAAAAGUGAAGUUGUCUUUUCCAAAAACUGCAAAGUGCAAAUAACGACCACGAAUUUCACCCCGCAGCCAAGGCAUACCCCGAUUGUGUUUUAUUCGUAGACAAUAUACAAGUUUUCUUCCAGUCCCGUCAUGUGUAGACACAAGAUGCGAAAAGACUUUAUCACUUCGUUUUGCCGUAUAUGCGGAACUGAUUAUCUACAAGACUCGUCGAGUAUAAAUUCUGUUCGAGAAAAGUAGGCGUUAGGGAAAUUUCGCGUUGCGCUAAGAGGGCGCGUCUGGUGUAUACACCAGACUCAAUGCAAGAAGCAUUCUACAAGACGAGUCAUCUAACGAUCUACAGAAAAUUCUUGCAGUCUCGGUCUUGGCAUGACACGAAACACAAUUGGGACUCUGCAGGUACGUUCAAGCUUGAUGCUUGAUACUUCCCAAUUGUGUUUCGUGUCAUGCCAAGACCGUGACUGCAAGACAUUCCUGUAGAUCGCUAGAUGAAUCUUCUUGUAGAAAGCUUCUUGCAAUGAGUUUGGUGUACGCGCCCUCUUAGCGCAACGCGUAAUUUCCCUAACGCCUACUUUUCUCAAAAAACUCUGCAAAUUUACGUAAACAAGUGAAAUUUUGUGUAUCAUGCGUCAUUUGUUUUGUGAGUGCUGUACGAGAAAGUUAAUUUUUUCCUGCGCGUCUUUUAUAAAACAAUCAGAGUUCUGAGGACCACGAAAGAGAUAUGUUGGAUGAUAAAAAUAGAAACUACAAUGCAUUAUCCAGGGCGAAGAAUAUAGAAAACGGCGAAAUAAAUAAAAUUUUUCUUUUAGCUACUAGAUUAUUUAGUUAUAAGUAAAACUGUUUAGAUAAUAUAUAAUUUUAAGUACUCAUUGUUUUAGUUUAAAUAAAUUUAAUUGGAAGUACAAUAAACAUUUUAUUUACUGCAUAUAUUUUUGAGAGUAUUUUUAUUUUGCAUAUUCCAAACUACGCACUAGAAUCUAAGCACAGAUUUUCUGCCAGAGUUGGACCACAUAUUUUCUACAAGAAACGUCGAGUACAAAUUCUGCCAGCGCAGCCGAGGGAAAUUUAAAUUUCCCUUUGGCAGAAUUUAUACUCGACGUUUCUUGUAGAAAAUCAGUUCCGAGUAUACGGCAAACUGAAAGGAUAAAUUCUUUUCUCAUCUUGUGUCUAGACAAGACGUGAGUGGAAGAAAACUUGUAUAUUGUCUACUACUAAAACACAAUUGGGAAUUGUUUAUACAUUGCUUCCUCCCCGCUGCCCCCCCUUUCGAUCAUAUGCGAUUACGCAUACCUAAUAAGAAUUGUUUUGCAUAAUCCCGUUAGAGUGCGACGACGCACUGUCUUUCGUUGUCUUUCUUUUCGCACAACGCACGGAACUUUACCGUUAGCUGUAGUAGUGUGACUACAGACUACUACAGUCGACGAUGGAAUAGUGUGUAUAGUGUAAUUGGACCAGUGUGAUUACACACAUCAGUGUGAUUACACACAUCAGUGUGAUUACACACAUCAGUGUGAUUACACACAUCAGUGUGAUUACACACAUCAGUGUGAUUACACACUAGCAACCAUUUCACCUACGCCGCGCGUCUCGUUUUUCCUCUCAUCAGCGCAAAGUACAGAAUUCUUUCUUUAGCUGUGGUAGUAUGACUACAAAUUACUACAGUCAACGCUAGAAUAGUGUGUAUAGUGUGACUGUGCCAGUGUGAUUACACGCCAACACCCGUCUCACCUACACCGUACCCCUCAGUUUUCGAUCGUCCGCGCAAGACACAGAUCUCUCCAAUUAGAUGUAGUAGCGUGACUACAAACUACUACAGUCAACGCUAGAACAGUGCGUACAGUGUGACUGGGCCAGUGUGAUUACACGCUAGCAACCAUUUCACCCACGCUGCGUUUCUCGUUUUUCUAUCGUUCGCGCGAAACACAGGAUCUUCCCGUUAGCUGAAGUAGUGUGACUACAAACUACUACAGCCAACACCGGAAUAGUGUGUACAGUGCAACGAAAUCAGUUUGCUUACGCACUGACACCCGCGCCGUACUCCUCGUGUGGUGGUACUGUGUCUAUAUCCACCCAAAAAACAAUGGCACAUUUCAAUCGACGUUGGACCUGAGGACAAUCCCAGAAGUAUGUAUACAAAUAUUUUCGUUAAUUAUCCAGAACCCGUGAAAUAAUAAAUAAAGAAAUUCAAAACCAGCUACUGUCUUUCCUUUUUCAUCGAGAUCUCCGAUCUUAUAUGUUACCCAUUUCGGAGAUUAUUAUAUAUUAUUAUUAUUAUAUUUAUUAAUUUAUAUACGCGUAUCGCUACUUCGAUUUCCGGUAGGUGAGCAUCCAUCCCGGUGGUCCUUCUCUAAAUACGCUCUCAUAUCACGGUCCGGUUUACGAGUUCAGCGGCAUUACUUUGGGGUGAAUAUAUCGACGUGCGCAUGUGAGUGAUUCUGAUGCUUUGAUCAUCGUCCUAAACGAUUCGGAAAUAAAUUGUCGUCUGUUGUCGGAGUGUAACCCUCCGGCACUUCGAAUUUCAAGAAUACCUCGUGAACCAGGAAAAAAAAGUAAACUUGCAAAAAUUAUACACAACUAUGAAGAUACAAGCAUGCUCACGUAUGGAUUAAGAAGUCGAUGUAAAAUUUCUGGAAUGGGUGAUCGGUUGCACAUCCCCGUAAAAAGUCUUGAAUAUGCGCUUUCUGUAUUAGACCAGUGAGUGAGUCUGGUAUCCCCAGCUUCCAACUCGCCUGAACGCUCUCCAGAAAUCAUUUUCCAAAUAAACUUUCUGUUUCAAAUCGGGGCACAUGAAGAAUAUUAUCUACACCGACCUGUCGCCGUACGACAAUGACAGAUUGACUAGACCCAGGAUUGGACGGUUGGCUCCUGCAGCACAUGGUAAUUCAUCUUGUCGACAAGCUCUCGACACCCUUGCCCCAGCUGACUAACGGACAUGCCGGUCCACCGAUGAUAAUAUAAAAAAAGACUCAAGGAUCUUUGUUCUUCACUCUUCGAACCACUUCUUUCUCUGUUUGUUAACCUUUGCUGACGAAAACGAGCGCGUGCCUUCAUAACGCGAUUCGUGGCCAGCGAAAAUUGACAGAUUGCGCACUAAGCAUAUCGGGUUUGCCGCACUGAAGCACUUCUCUCCAAGGACAUUGGUACUGUCUCUGCAAAAAUUCGUUGCGAAAGACAAAAUCCUCCACAGCGUGUCUGGAAUCUGCACCAUCGAAUCGAAAGUCCACUUCAACUUCUGUAUCUGGACGCAUGUUGCCAUUGGGAUUCUGUCAGUUCACUGCGUGCGGAUCGCACCCAACUUCAGGACUACUCGGUAUAUACUUCGAACGCGGCAAAGGACAUUGUAUGGUCGGCAAUGGCAUUAGACAUCGAUUUUGGCUGCAACGUGGCGGGUUCAAUCGUCUCUGCGGCCGGAUUACCUCCCGCACCAGCUUCAUCAUCUCCAUGAACGCGUAUCGACGUCAGAAUCCCCUCCUGCAGCGAGCUCCUAUAAGUCGCGGCUUUGGUGGAUGACUAUGUUGGCCCGUAUCCGCCGAAUUGCUAGCUGCUGCCGUUCCUACUCAGGUUGCUACUGUUGGUGGGCACUGGAGUCUCUGUGGUUAAGCUCCCGGUUGAAAGGUCUUCUUCUCCAACAGUAUGGGAAUCCUCUGCUUACCUCCUACUAAAUGCUGUAGGUUCCCCGAUGCUCCAUAUGUUUUACAACUCUCAGACAUUUUUACAACUAUCAAUCUACCACUACGGUGAAACUCUGUCGUAAGCCAAUUCACUAAAUACUAAAAGAAAAUACUACUACAAUAAAUAAAUAAAUACGUACCCUUAGAGAUAAAUAAACGACUCAC